rnacentral:tRNA from 1 species
AAGAUUUUAAGUUAAAUAAACUGAUAACCUUCAAAGUUAAAAAUAUAGAAUUACUCUUUAAAUCUUA